rnacentral:rRNA from 1 species
GUCCACGCCGUAAACGAUGAAUGCUAGGUGUCGGGGCUUACGGGCUUCGGUGCCGAAGUUAACACAUUAAGCAUUCCACCUGGGAAGUACGAUCGCAAGAUUGAAACUCAAAGGAAUUGACGGGGACCCCGCACAAGCGGUGGAGCAUGUGGUUUAAUUCGAAGCAACGCGAAGAACCUUACCUAAACUUGACAUCCUGUUGACCGGAACUUAAUCGUUCUUUUCCUAGCUUGCUAGGACAACAGUGACAGGUGGUGCAUGGUUGUCGU